rnacentral:lncRNA from 1 species
GACGAUAAGGCACCUGCGCAGUCGGCAUCCAAUAUAUAUAGAACUACAGGUUGAUGAAGUUGUGUGACAGAUCAGAGUCAGAAUCCGAAAUCUAGGGGAUCGUAGGGAAAGUCAGUAAUGGGUAAUGAAUUUCUCGUUCAAGAGGAUGGGUAAAUGUGAGAGCUACUAUCGUAAAGAACAAGCUCACACUUGAGAUAGAGAAUAAGUCCUCCAUGGGUAAGUUGAGAAAAAGAGGGCAAGACAGAGAUUAUGCUGGUACAAAUUGCGAUAAACAGAUGAUUAAACAGGGAGUUGAUGACUCUGAUUUACAUUUUGUUUCUUGAAAACUAUGAAAUAUUGCUAUUGUACUGCUUCACAGAAUCUCACUAUGUUAAUUUGAACUUAUGAAAUUAUACGUUUUCACAGGGUAAAGGGUUUUGACUCGAAAAUGGAGUGGAGGGACCAAGCAGACACUGCUAGUCAUGGGAAGGGCAUGGAUGUCGUUUAGGAUAUAGAGGGGCUCUCAUUUAAAGGCCACGCCUUGGGGGUUUAGUCGAAGUCAUUAAAAAAAUAGAUUUAAAUUCAAUGUUUUAAAUAAGAUUGUAAGACAGUAUCUUUUAGAUGUUGUGUAGGACAAUAUAGUUUAAGGUGUAAAUGAAAUGUUUGAGAAAGUAAAAAGAUUUGUUUUAGAAAUAUCAUCAAG